rnacentral:rRNA from 1 species
UACGGGGGGGGUAAGCGUUGUUCGGAAUUACUGGGCGUAAAGGGCUCGUAGGCGGCCAACUAAGUCAGACGUGAAAUCCCUCAGCUUAACUGGGGAACUGCGUCUGAUACUGGAUGGCUUUGGAUUUUGGGAGAGGGAUGCGGAAUUCCAGGUGUAGCGGUGAAAUGCGUAGAUAUCUGGAGGAACACCGGUGGCGAAGGCGGCAUCCUGGACCAAUAUUGACGCUGAGGAGCGAAAAGCCAGGGGGAGCAAAACGGG